rnacentral:misc_RNA from 1 species
GAGCGAUACCCGCCCUGGACUCCCUUGAUUGCCAUUCCUAAUAAAAAUUCACUGCUACUUCUAAUAGGUAUGAGAAGAGACAAUGCACAUAUGGCCAUAUUCUGCCUGAUUCCUCUGCCCUUCUCUAUCUCUGCCAAGCCUUCAAAACUUUCUCACUCUAAGCACCUUAUCUUUUGCUAUUGUUGCAAGAUUCCAGAGAUUAUGUUUCUUUUAACAACUCUCUUCUCCCAGUCCUGUUUGCCAAAACCAGUGACAAUGAAGCUGUUGUUUUUGUUGUUAUUACUUGAAAAUAAUGCAAAUUCAUUGUUUACUCCAAA